rnacentral:tRNA from 1 species
GCAGCAGGCCUGGCCGAAUGGUUAAACUAUCCGCUUAGUAAGCGGAAGAUCAUGGGUUCCAUUCCCAUCUGCUCCA